rnacentral:rRNA from 1 species
UACAGAGGGUGCGAGCGUUGUCCGGAAUCACUGGGCGUAAAGGGCGCGUAGGCGGCUGGGUAAGUCGGAGGUGAAAUCCCGUGGCUCAACUGCGGGGCUGCCUUCGAGACUGCCUGGCUCGAGCGCGGUAGAGGCUGGUGGAAUUCCCGGUGUAGCGGUGGAAUGCGUAGAGAUCGGGAGGAACAUCGGUGGCGAAGGCGGCCAGCUGGGCCGUUGCUGACGCUGAGGCGCGAAAGCGUGGGGAGCAAACAGG